rnacentral:rRNA from 1 species
UACGUAGGGGGCAAGCGUUGUCCGGAUUUAUUGGGCGUAAAGAGCGUGUAGGCGGCUUUACAGGUCCGUUGUGAAAACUCGAGGCUCAACCUCGAGACGCCGGUGGAAACCGUAAGGCUAGAGUCCGGAAGAGGAGAGUGGAAUUCCUGGUGUAGCGGUGAAAUGCGCAGAUAUCAGGAGGAACACCCGUGGCGAAAGCGGCUCUCUGGGACGGUACUGACGCUGAGGCGCGAAGGCCAGGGGAGCAAACGGG